CUCUACAUUCUAUAGUACCCCUCUACAUUCUAUAUAACCCCUCUACAUUCUAUAUAACCCUUUACAUUCUCCACAACCCCUAUACAAUCUAUAUAACCCCUCUACAUUCUAUAUAACCCUUUACAUUCUCCACAACCCCUAUACAAUCUAUUGAACCCCUCUAAAUUCUAUAGAACCCCUCUACAAUCUAUAUAACCCCUCUACAUUCUAUAGUACCCCUCUACAUUCUAUAGUACCCCUCUACAUUCUAUAUAACCCCUCUACAUUCUAUAGAACCCUUUUAAUUCUCCACAACCCCUAUACAAUCUAUGGAACCACUCUAUAUUCUAUAGAACCACUCUACAUUCUAUACAACACCUCUACAUUCUAUAGAACCCUUUUCAUUCUCUACAUCUCUCUACAUUCUAUAGAACUCCUCUACAUUCUAUAGAACACCUCUACAUUCUAUAGAUACCUUUUCAUUCUCCACAACCCCUAUACAAUCUGUGGAACUACUCUACAUUCUAUAUAACUCUUCUACAUUCUAUAGAACCACUCUACAUUAUCUACAACCCCUCUACAUUCUAUAGAACCCUUUUCAUUCUCCACAACCCCUAUACAAUCUAUGGAACCACGCUACAUUCUAUAGAACCCCUCGACAUUCUAUGGAACCAUGGUACAUUCUAUAGAACCCCUCUACAUUCUAUAGAACCCCUCUACAUUCUAUAGUACCCCUCUACAUUCUAUAUAACCCCUCUACAUUCUAUAGUACCCCUCUACAUUCUAUAUAACCCCUCUACAUUCUAUAUAACCCUUUACAUUCUCCACAACCCCUAUACAAUCUAUAUAACCCCUCUACAUUCUAUAUAACCCUUUACAUUCUCCACAACCCCUAUACAAUCUAUUGAACCCCUCUAAAUUCUAUAGAACCCCUCUACAAUCUAUAUAACCCCUCUACAUUCUAUAGUACCCCUCUACAUUCUAUAGUACCCCUCUACAUUCUAUAUAACCCCUCUACAUUCUAUAGUACCCCUCUACAUUCUAUAGUACCCCUCUACAUUCUAUAUAACCCCUCUACAUUCUAUAGUACCCCUCUACAUUCUAUAGUACCCCUCUACAUUCUAUCGUACCCC
rnacentral:lncRNA from 13 species